rnacentral:rRNA from 1 species
GCCAAACCACUCCGCCUGAACAAAACAUACAAUAAACUCAACAUAAACAAAUCAAACCAUUUGAUAAAAACAGUAUAUGAGAUAGAACUUUACCCUCAGCGCAAUAGUAAAUAGUACCAUAGGGGAAAAAUGAAAGAUCAUUAUAAAUUAAGCACAUAACAGCAGGAGUAAUAUCCCGUACCUCUAGCAUCAUGGUUUAGUCAGCACUCACAAGUAAAGCGCCCUAUAUCUGUCACCCCGAAACCAGACGAGCUACUUAAAAGCAGCAACAAGAGCAAACCCGUCCCUGUGACAAAAGGGUGGGAAGACUUUUAAGUAGCGGCGAAACACCAAUCGAGUCUGGUGAUAGCUGGUUACUCACUAAAUGAAUAUAAGUUCAAUUCUAAGACUACAUCAAUAAUUCCACAUAAUCCUAUACGUCAUUAGAAGAUAUACAAUAGGGGAACAGCUCUAUUGUAUUUGGCUACAACCAUAAUUAGAGAGCCUCUCACCAAAACCCUGUUAGUGGGCCUUAAAGCCGCCACCUUUAAAAAUUGCGCUACAGCAUAUAAACAAAAAUACCACAAACAAAUAUUCCCUCCUAUCGCCCCACUGAGCUACCCUAUAAUUAAAUAGAAGAACUACUGCUAAAACUAGUAAUACGACACUCCUCGCCCACGCACUCCUGUAAAUCGGAAUGGAAAGACCGCCGAUAGUUAACAGACUAAAAACAGUAAUAAAUACCACAAAAAAUAAAGCUAUUCUAAAUCCACUGUUAAUCCAACACAGGCGUGCAUACAGGCAAGAUUAAAACCCUUAAAAGGAACUCGGCUAACAUAGUCCCACCUGUUUACCAAAAACAUGGCCUUUAGCUAAUAACAAGUAUUAAAGGUCCAGCCUGCCCAGUGAAUUAUUUAUUUCAACGGCCGCGGUAUCCUAACCGUGCAAAGGUAGCGUAAUCACUUGUCCCUUAAUUAUGGACCAGUAUGAAUGGCUAAAUGAGGGCACCCCUGUCUCCUAAGGGUGUUCAAUGAAACUGAUAUUUCAGUACAAAAGCUGAAAUAUACCCAUAAGACGAGAAGACCCUGUGGAGCUUAAAAUUCCAAUAUUAAUGUAUUAUUAACCAACUCUCCCGAGAUGUUAUACAAUUCAACAAUAAUAUUUACUUUAGGUUGGGGCGACUGCGGAAUAAAAUAAAACUUCCAUGAUUUGGGCCUAAAAGCCUAUUAAGACUAACCAGUCAAAAUAAUAAUAACACUGAUCCAGUAACACUGAUUAACGGACCAAGUUACCCCAGGGAUAACAGCGCCAUCCCCCUCAAGAGUCCCUAUCGCCAGGGGGGUUUACGACCUCGAUGUUGGAUCAGGACAUCCCAGUGGUGCAGCCACUACUAACGGUUCGUUUGUUCAACGAUUAAUAGUCCUACGUGAUCUGAGUUCAGACCGGAGAAAUCCAGGUCGGUUUCUAUCUAUGUACUGGCCUCUUUAGUACGAAAGGACCAAUGAAGCCAACGCCAAUACCAAACCAGCACGCGUUAUCAUCCUCAUUGCAAACAAAUAAAAUUAAAACACAGAAAUACCUACCCUUAUAUAAAGGGUUAUU